GAACUUUUGGCCGCAUGCUGCCGGCCAGCCAAAAUAGCGCGCGGUGUUUUCUGGUCGAACCGCUACGGCGGCUCCGGUGCCAGCGCAACCAUAGCGCGUUCCUAUAUAGUUGUCUUAUCUGUAGGAUCGUACGGUCCUAAGCGGCCGUGGAGUGCAUGAUUACGCUGCGUGCGGCCGAGUCCGAAGCACCGAGGGAACGUGCCCGAGCCUGCGGGCUUUAUCGUGGGCAUGCUCACGCUCACUGCGGCUGUGCUACUCGGCAUCCUGUUUUCGGCGAUCAACGACUGGCGUCGAUGAACACACCGGGACGUGUCUGGAAAAGUCGCCCCGUCUCUAGUGCCGCAGCGAGGCUUCCCACAACGCCGCUCCUAACCUGGGAUUGACCGCGUCGCAGAAUACUUGUGAGUGGCAGUGGUCCCCGAUGCGAUGUGAACUGUAGCUUGCCUGGGGCCUGCGCGCUAGAGACCCCUGAGAAGGCCUGACCUUGAGCAUGGCCUUCAUAGCUCCAUUUCUUGCUCCUGAUCUCAACUAGAAUAUCAGCUACGCCCUGUUUGUCGUGCAAACGGAAGUUGUCGUUCGGGUGUCAUUGUCUUGUUUCCUGACAAAGGCACGUGGUUGCGCCCUGCGAAAUUCCCCUGAAGCGACUGCUGCAGCAAGCAAACUAUGGCCUCGCUUGGCAAGCCCCAUCGGAUCUAAGGUUACAGACGUCAACAAAAUUGCGGGUCUACUUCCAGUAGCAGCACGACACGGUCCUCUCAGGUCCGUGAUCUCUCCCAAACUUGCGGAAGAUAUUCCUUGGCUAUGCAGCGGUCUUUUUUGGUCGCCGUUCAUAUAGUGAAGAUUCAUCACCGACGUCAUGGUCAUCUGGCCGCUACAGGGCUACCACGUGUCACAGGCUGCGUUGUUGGACCACGCCGGUGGCGUUCACUACCCUAGCCGUACAAACUAG